UCGGUGGAUCACUCGGCUCGUGUGUCGAUGAAGAGCGCAGCAAACUGUGUGAAUUAAUGUGAUCUGCAUACUGCCUUGAACAUCGACAUCUUGAACGCAUCUUGCGGCCAUGGGUUCACCUAUGGCCACGCCUGUCCGAGGGUCGGCUUAUAAACUAUCACGACGCCCCUAAAGUCGUGGCUUGGGUCUUGCCAACUGGCGUGAUUUCCUCAGCCUCCCGUAAGGGGGUGUUGGGGUGCCAGGUCUAUGGCUUCUCCCUAAUGUGUCCGGACAUCCAUGUGCAACAUGUGAUGGCGGAGUCGUGGCUAAAUAGUGUUUGCGCGCGCUCCGAUCACUGACAUGGUCCCUGUCUGUCACUGGGUGUGUGUUGCGUUGACGCGCUUCACAGCCUAUUUACCUGA
rnacentral:rRNA from 1 species